UGCAAGGCAGGCGCUUAUGCUGCUGAGCUAAUUCCCCAGCCCCCAAUGGAGACUAUUUCAGCCAAAUUGAAAGCAAUUUCAUGGAUCUACAUAAAAGGCAUGAUCCUUGGGUUGGAGAUUACGAAUAUAACUUCUCUGAGCCUUAGUGUCCUUGUCUAUCUGCAUGUAAAAUUCCUGUGUGGCCAGCCUGGGCUAUUAUUUGUAUUGAAUAUUUUGCAGUACACUCACCAUAGGUACAAAGCACAACAUGUACAGAUUCAUGAUUUAAUUAAGUUAAUUAACUUACUUAUUUUUUUUUUUUUGUCGUUUUCGUUUUUACUGGUACCAGGGAUUGAACUCACGACUGCCUGCUUGCAAGGCAGGCGCUUAUGCCGCUGAGCUAAAUCCCCAGCCCCCAACUUACUUAUUUUUGAGACAGGGUCUCUCUAUAUAGUUCAGGCUGAUCUUGAACUCACUAUGUAGCCCAGGCUGACCUUGACUUUGCAGUGAUCCUCCUGCCUCCGCCUCCCAAAUGCUAUGAUUACAUCUGUGCAUCACCGCAACUAGCGUCAUGGUUUUAAAAGGGAAUUUGGAAAGGAAAUAACUCUAAGUGGACCAUGCAGGGAGAGCUUCAGACCACCACGGGGGACCUGUGCACCUUGGAGAGGGGAUGGUGAGCAGUUGGUCAGCUGGAGCAGAGAAAUGUGUGGGAGGAGGACAGGAGGCGAGGUGGGCAGGUCUGAGGCUGACGGCCAGGCUGGGUGUUGGGUUCACAAGGGCCGCGACUGGGAAACACUGAAGAGCCUUCGUUACCAGCGCUGCACAGUGAUGCUGGCAUCCAGGCAGCUUUACUGACUCUCACUUCUAGCGAGCUUUUAUUAACAGCCACUGCCAGGCUUCUGCAGUGACCAAGACAGACCAGCCAAGGAAGUUUCUGGUGAAGCCGGGGCAGCUCCUCCAAUACCUUAGCGAUUUGUUAUUCCUCUAACUUGCACGAUGCUCCAGGCAACGCACCUAGGCGCUGGGGGAGAAACAGAAACAAAUCAAAAUGUGACCGCUGCCCUGUAGCUGCCACUCUGCCGAGGGGAGGGGGCGUUACACACGUAAACCGCGUGCUUAGUGAUAACCAUGACUAUAAGACAGCAAGAAAAAGAACAGAAAGCUAAGAGAGCAAGUAACACCGUGAACUCCAUCUUCAUAAACUAAUAACCACAUCCGUGACACUCCCAGAUUAAUUUAUAGUUUACAAAGCCCCUCACGUUCUAUCUCAUGUGGGCUGCAUUUCAGCCUGAGGAGAAAGCCAGCCAGCGGAUCUUAGCCUGUUUUAUUCAUGAGACGGUAAAUAAAUAAGGUGUGAGUCUACCCAGGUAGCAGAGAAUCCCGGCCUAUGCCAACUGGGCACCAAGAGGGUGAGCGUGCACGCGCCCUGGGGAGGGGCAGCCAGCCUCCUGCAUCCAGAAGAGCAAAGUCAGAAACCAAAUGGCAGGAAGGUCAUCUUCCCCGUUUUCCGCCCUCGGAGCCUCCAGGAUAGGCUAGCGUGAGGAACAGAAGUGGUUAGAGGCUCGGCCUUGGGUGGCCCAGAGUAGGGCAGGCAGGCCAGAAUGGCCUGGAAAGCAGAGGCACGAAAGGCCCACAGCACGAAUGGGACUGUGGCCUCAUCAAAGGCAGCCGCCCCCCUCCCGGCAGUGAAAGUGAACGGGCCCAGGCGGAGGUGACAGGCCAGCGAAACUCCCUACCGCAUUCACCUCCGAGGUUAGGGACACGGCAGGGCGGCCCACCUGCCAGUAUCAGCACCUCGAUCACAGAGCUCGUCGGAGAGAGGUUUCCGAAUGACUGGGCCCUGCUGCCCCAGAAAGGAAGCGUUCUGGGCUGCAAGUGCGGGCCAGGCACUUGAAAGUGGUUUUGUGGUGCAGUUUAUGGACUACAUGCUCUUACUGGAGUACGGAGCCUUUGCUGUGAGAUCUCGAGAGAGGAUUCACUAAGCUGUCCAGGUUGGACUUGAAGUUCUGAUCCUCCUGCUUUAACCUCUCAAACUACCAUGAUUACGACAUUUGUGUACUUGUUGAUUCUUUCCUCUUGUACAGUGCCACGACGUAAGUCAGGCAGCAGUCAGCCAGUUUGGGAGGAAGGAACCUGCGUCCAGAGGGCAGACCGGCUCUCAGCUCUCCAUGCUGGCGUCUCUGAUGGGGAGAUGCUCACAGCCGUGCUGCAAGCAGAGAGAAGGGGGCUGUGUUUCACUCCAUCCGUACCCAGAACGGGCCGACGGCCGGGCUGUGCCACCCAGAUCCUGUUUACAAAGGGCAGGAGAACGUUCCAGGUCCUGAGUUGUGUUUCAGUGAAGGCAAACUGAGCCUGAGGAGGAAUGAAAAGAAUUUUGUUGCUUUGGGAGCAUUUAGUACAAACCACACUUCGCUUUGUUUCCGGAUUUUCAAAAGGUUUCAUCUAGCUUCAUUAUUAAAAAAAAUCUAAUUACACAA